rnacentral:rRNA from 1 species
UGGGGAAUAUUGGACAAUGGGCGCAAGCCUGAUCCAGCCAUGCCGCGUGAGUGAUGAAGGCCUUAGGGUUGUAAAGCUCUUUUACCAGGGAAGAUAAUGACGGUACCUGGAGAAUAAGCCCCGGCUAACUUCGUGCCAGCAGCCGCGGUAAUACGAAGGGGGCUAGCGUUGCUCGGAAUCACUGGGCGUAAAGCGCACGUAGGUGGGUCGUUAAGUCAGGGGUGAAAUCCCGGAGCUCAACUCCGGAACUGCCUUUGAUACUGGCGAUCUUGGAGUCCGGGAGAGGUGAGUGGAACUGCGAGUGUAGAGGUGAAAUUCGUAGAUAUUCGCAAGAACACCAGUGGCGAAGGCGGCUCACUGGCCCGGUACUGACACUGAGGUGCGAAAGCGUGGGGAGCAAACA